UACGUAGGGGGCAAGCGUUGUCCGGAUUUAUUGGGCGUAAAGAGCGUGUAGGCGGCCAGACAGGUCCGUUGUGAAAACUGGAGGCUUAACCUCCAGACGUCGACGGAAACCGCGUGGCUAGAGUCCGGAAGAGGAGAGUGGAAUUCCCGGUGUAGCGGUGAAAUGCGCAGAUAUCGGGAGGAACACCAAUGGCGAAGGCGAGCACUCUGGGCCGGUACUGACGCUG
rnacentral:rRNA from 1 species